AGGAUUAGAUGUCUGACCUGGAAGUGUUCGUCACAUGACCACUAGGACCCAGAAGAGGCCACUAGAGCCACUGCAGCCAUCGGGGGCAGAUUUUACUUCAGAGUGACCGAUGGCUGUACAGGCCCUACACCCUUCCUAACAGUACAUCUUGCCCAGCGAGAGAGAGACUGAGGAACAAGAGAGGGAGGGGCAGGAGAGAGAGAGAGAAACGCUGAGGAGAGAGAGACACACAGGGACAAAGAAGAGAGAGAAAACAAAUGUUGGACAGGAGAGAUACAGGGGGACAGGAGCAGUAGCGGAUCUUGCCAUGGGCAGAAAUUAUUCUUUGAAGAAGCCGCCGAUCUGCACACAGGCGGAGAAACGCGUAGAGGAGUGCCAUCCACGGCGUUGAUCUGUUGCAUCCCGCACCUAUACGUGAGGACAAGAGUGGUAACUAUCAAGAGUGAGACGUCACUUCUUUAAUCAGUUACCUGGUCUGAAGACACGUUGUGUCGGGUUCUAUUUAAUAGCGUGGCCACGCUGGACUUUGCAGUUGAAUUAUUCUAUGGACAAAAAUCCUGAGUAUUAACAUUCAAACAGCUAUUCCAUUAAGCAAUUGUUUGCAUGCUUUGAAUCAUUUCGGAAAGUUACGAACUAACAGUUGAAGAUUCUUGCAUGAUAUUAAGUGAGCCUGUCUAACAUCACUGAGCUUGGUUCCGUCUGGCUAAAAAUUAUGAACUGUUAGUAACUAAUUGUUCUAAACGAACAGCUUCUAACAUCUCCAAGCUUUGCUCUAUCUAUAUCUUUGCAAAUAUAAAUAUGUGGAUUUAUGCUGAUUUAUACUGCAGUAAAUAAGUUGAUCAACUAAUAAGUGGCCACAGGGUGAAAUUAUAAGCCGUGUUAUGAAUGUUGUUUGUAUAAAUGUCUAAUAAAUGUUAUAUGUUUUAAUUUAUACUGAUCAGGAUAGCGCUUCAUUUUAUCUUUUGUGGUUUUUACAUUUUUUGAGAGGUAACAGUGACCUCUUAGGUGAAGCAGCAAUCCCAGAUCAGGUGUAUUGUUAGUUACAUCCCAGAUCUUUUAACUAUUUGCGCCCAGGUGUUAUCUUUCUUUUUCUUUCUUUCCCCAAGCGACUAUCUUGGUUAACUCGACACUUGCUUAGUCUAUUCAUUUUCGCACUCGGACCAUGUAUUCAAGCAUCCAUUAUGUUCCCUUCUCUAUGUUUAUGUCACGUUGUUGUUUUCUUUUUUUCUUCUUUUCUCUUUUCUUUUUUCUUUUUUCUUUCUGAGAG